GCGAAGCAGUGAUGUGGAGCAAAACUCAAAAAAAUAAGUCUCAGUUCGGAUUGAAGGCUGAAAUUCGCCUUCAUGAAGCCGGAAUUGCUAGUAAUGACAGGUCAGCAUACUGCCGUGAAUACGUUCCCGGGGCCUUGUACACACCGCCCGUCACACCAUGAGAGUUGGGAAUACCCGAAGCCUGUGAGCUAACUUUUAGAGGCAGCAGUCGAAGGUAGAAUCAAUGAUUGGGGUGAAGUCGUAACAAGGUACC
rnacentral:rRNA from 1 species